CAGCUUUGAUAUAUAUCAUCAGUACAAUCUCUUUUUUCAAUCAGGUUGUUUCAGGUAAUCUUUUGCCGCAUAGUCUGCCCUAGCUGACGCUGUGCAGAGAAUACUACGAUUGGAAACGGUUGGUUAGACCCGUUCGCACUGCACAAGGUGAUUUGGCGUUUAGAAUGUCUGGUAGGCUUUUACAUUCUUUGGAGAGGUCCCAAAUGGCACCCUGUAGUGUACUACUUUUGACCUAUCCCCAGUGGGCUCAGAUCAAAAUAAGUGCACUAUAUAGGGAAUGGCGUGCCAUUUGUCUGUGUGUGUGUGUGUGUUAGGAUAUGUUUUGUGCCAAUCAGUUGAUGAAAAUGUAUCCCUCAGAAAGCAAGAUGGACCGUAGUGAUGAGAGAAUCAAAAGAGCUUUAAGGCGCUGCCCUUAUGUGGUAAAUACCAAUUUAUUUAGUUUGUGUUCUGUCUUUGUCAUCACAUUUUAAAUGGAGUGUUGUGUUGACAGUUGAAUCCAGUGAGGGUGAACACCCCUGAUUCUGUGAUGUGGCCAACCGGUAAGGUGCACAGAAGACCAAGGCCUUCUACUUCAGCGCAGACCCCUCAGAUCCACAAAAGGCC
rnacentral:lncRNA from 1 species